GUGACCUGCGGAGGGAUCAUUACUGAGUUGAAAAACUCCAACCCCUGUGAACAUAACCUCUGUCGUUGCUUCGGCGGGCACGCCCGCCGGAGGUUCAAAACUCUUAUUUUUUUCAGUAUCUCUGAGCCUAAAAGACAAAUAAUCAAAACUUUCAACAACGGAUCUCUUGGUUCUGGCAUCGAUGAAGAACGCAGCGAAAUGCGAUAAGUAAUGUGAAUUGCAGAAUUCAGUGAAUCAUCGAAUCUUUGAACGCACAUUGCGCCCGCCGGUAUUCCGGCGGGCAUGCCGUUCGAGCGUCAUUUCAACCCUCAAGCCUCGGCUUGGUGUUGGGGCGCCCGGGCCCUCCGCGGCCCGGGGCCCCCAAGUUCAUCGGCGGGCUCGUCGGUACACUGAGCGCAGUAAAACGCGGUAAAACGCGAACCUCGUUCGGAUCGUCCCGGCGUGCUCCAGCCGCUAAACCCCCAAUUCUUUAAAGGUUGACCUCGGAUCAGGUAGGAAUACCCGCUGAAC
rnacentral:rRNA from 1 species